GUAGGUGGCGAGCGUUGUCCGGAUUUACUGGGCGUAAAGGGCUUGUAGGCGGUCCGUUAAGUCCGAUGUGAAAUCUCCCGGCUCAACUGGGAUAGGUCAUUGGAUACUGGCGGACUAGAGGGGGGUAGAGGAGAGCAGAAUUCCUGGUGUAGCGGUGAAAUGCGUAGAUAUCAGGAGGAAUACCAGUGGCGAAGGCGGCUCUCUGGGCCUACCCUGACGCUGAGGAGCGAAAGCGUGGGGAGCAAACCGGAUUAGAUACCCGGGUAGUCCACGCCCUAAACGGUGGAUGCUAGGUGUGGGGGGUGUAGACCCCCUCCGUGCCGCAGCUAACGCUUUAAGCAUCCCGCCUGGGGAGUACGGCCGCAAGGCUAAA
rnacentral:rRNA from 1 species